UACAUGUGGGGCAAGCGUUGUUCGGAAUUACUGGGCAUAAAGGGUGCGUAGGCGGUUUGUUAAGUCACUGGUGAAAGUUUUCGGCCCAACCGGAAAAUUGCCUGUGAUACUGGCGAACUUGAGUGCGUGAGGGGUGGGGGGAACGAGCAGUGUAGCGGUGAAAUGCGUAGAUAUUCGGAAGAACACCAGUGGCGAAGGCGACUCACUGGACAUGUAUUGACGCUGAGGUGCGAAAGCGUGGGGAGCAAACAGG
rnacentral:rRNA from 1 species